GGGAGUGUAGCUCAGCGGUAGAGCAUUCGACUGCAGAUCGAGAGGUCCCUGGUUCAAUCCCGGGCGCUCCCU
rnacentral:tRNA from 1 species